UUACUGCUGAAGAGUCCCACACUAGGACGAAACAGCCGUCCAGUGU
rnacentral:hammerhead_ribozyme from 1 species